rnacentral:rRNA from 1 species
AAAAAAGGUAAGCUACUAAGAGCGAAUGGUGGAUGCCUUGACUGGUAAAGGCGAUGAAGGACGUACUAGACUGCGAUAAGCUACGGGGAGCUGUCAAGAAGCUUUGAUCCGUAGAUUUCCGAAUGGGGCAACCCAAUGUAUAGAGAUAUACAUUACCUAUAUAGGAGCGAACGAGGGGAAUUGAAACAUCUUAGUACCCUCAGGAAAAGAAAUCAAUAGAGAUUGCGUCAGUAGCGGCGAGCGAAAGCGCAAGAGGGCAAACCCAGUGCUUGCACUGGGGGUUGUAGGACUGCAAUGUGCAAGAGGUAAGUUUAGCAGAACAUUCUGGAAAGUAUAACCAUAGAGGGUGAUAGUCCCGUAUGCGAAAAACAAACCUUAGCUAGCAGUAUCCUGAGUAGGGCGGGACACGAGGAAUCCUGUCUGAAUCUGGGUCGACCACGAUCCAACCCUAAAUACUAAUACCAGAUCGAUAGUGCACAAGUACCGUGAGGGAAAGGUGAAAAGAACUGAGGUGAUCAGAGUGAAAUAGAACCUGAAACCAUUUGCUUACAAUCAUUCAGAGCCCUAUGUAGCAAUACAGGGUGAUGGACUGCCUUUUGCAUAAUGAGCCUGCGAGUUGUGGUGUCUGGCAAGGUUAAGCAAACGCGAAGCCGUAGCGAAAGCGAGUCUGAAUAGGGCGCUUAGUCAGAUGCUGCAGACCCGAAACGAAGUGAUCUAUCCAUGAGCAAGUUGAAGCUAGUGUAAGAACUAGUGGAGGACUGAACCCAUAGGCGUUGAAAAGCCCCGGGAUGACUUGUGGAUAGGGGUGAAAGGCCAAUCAAACUUCGUGAUAGCUGGUUCUCUCCGAAAUAUAUUUAGGUAUAGCGUUGUGUCGUAAUAUAAGGGGGUAGAGCACUGAAUGGGCUAGGGCAUACACCAAUGUACCAAACCCUAUCAAACUCCGAAUACCUUAUAUGUAAUCACAGCAGUCAGGCGGCGAGUGAUAAAAUCCGUCGUCAAGAGGGAAACAACCCAGACUACCAGCUAAGGUCCCUAAAUCUUACUUAAGUGGAAAACGAUGUGAAGUUACUUAAACAACCAGGAGGUUGGCUUAGAAGCAGCCAUCCUUUAAAGAAAGCGUAAUAGCUCACUGGUCUAGUGAUUUUGCGCGGAAAAUAUAACGGGGCUAAAGUAAGUACCGAAGCUGUAGACUUGCACACAACUUAGAUUAUUUAAGUUUAGAAUAUGAGAAACUAAGUUAUAUGUUUAGUUAUAUUUUUACUGAUUUUUAUAGAGUAAAGAUAGAAAUAAAACUUAGUAAAAUCAGUAAAAAUAUUCUUAGACUAAAGUUAAGUAGUUUAAGUUGUGUGCAAGUGGUAGGAGAGCGUUCUAUUUGCGUCGAAGGUAUACCGGUAAGGAGUGCUGGAGCGAAUAGAAGUGAGCAUGCAGGCAUGAGUAGCGAUAAUUAAUGUGAGAAUCAUUAACGCCGUAAACCCAAGGUUUCCUACGCGAUGCUCGUCAUCGUAGGGUUAGUCGGGUCCUAAGUCGAGUCCGAAAGGGGUAGACGAUGGCAAAUUGGUUAAUAUUCCAAUACCAACAUUAGUGUGCGAUGGAAGGACGCUUAGGGCUAAGGGGGCUAGCGGAUGGAAGUGCUAGUCUAAGGUCGUAGGAGGUUAUACAGGCAAAUCCGUAUAACAAUACUCCGAGAACUGAAAGGCUUUUUGAAGUCUUCGGAUGGAUAGAAGAACCCCUGAUGCCGUCGAGCCAAGAAAAGUUUCUAAGUUUAGUUAAUGUUGCCCGUACCGUAAACCGACACAGGUGGGUGGGAUGAGUAUUCUAAGGCGCGUGGAAGAACUCUCUUUAAGGAACUCUGCAAAAUAGCACCGUAUCUUCGGUAUAAGGUGUGGUUAGCUUUGUAUUAGGAUUUACUCCGAAAGCAAGGAAACUUACAACAAAGAGUCCCUCCCGACUGUUUACCAAAAACACAGCACUCUGCUAACUCGUAAGAGGAUGUAUAGGGUGUGACGCCUGCCCGGUGCUCGAAGGUUAAUUGAUGGGGUUAGCAUUAGCGAAGCUCUUGAUCGAAGCCCGAGUAAACGGCGGCCGUAACUAUAACGGUCCUAAGGUAGCGAAAUUCCUUGUCGGUUAAAUACCGACCUGCAUGAAUGGCGUAACGAGAUGGGAGCUGUCUCAAAGAGGGAUCCAGUGAAAUUGUAGUGGAGGUGAAAAUUCCUCCUACCCGCGGCAAGACGGAAAGACCCCGUGGACCUUUACUACAGCUUGACACUGCUACUUGGAUAAGAAUGUGCAGGAUAGGUGGGAGGCUUUGAGUAUAUGACGCCAGUUGUAUAUGAGCCAUUGUUGAGAUACCACUCUUUCUUAUUUGGGUAGCUAACCAGCUUGAGUUAUCCUCAAGUGGGACAAUGUCUGGUGGGUAGUUUGACUGGGGCGGUCGCCUCCCAAAUAAUAACGGAGGCUUACAAAGGUUGGCUCAGAACGGUUGGAAAUCGUUCGUAGAGUAUAAAGGUAUAAGCCAGCUUAACUGCAAGACAUACAAGUCAAGCAGAGACGAAAGUCGGUCUUAGUGAUCCGGUGGUUCUGUGUGGAAGGGCCAUCGCUCAAAGGAUAAAAGGUACCCCGGGGAUAACAGGCUGAUCUCCCCCAAGAGCUCACAUCGACGGGGAGGUUUGGCACCUCGAUGUCGGCUCAUCGCAUCCUGGGGCUGGAGCAGGUCCCAAGGGUAUGGCUGUUCGCCAUUUAAAGCGGUACGCGAGCUGGGUUCAGAACGUCGUGAGACAGUUCGGUCCCUAUCUGCCGUGGGCGUAAGAAGAUUGAAGAGAUUUGACCCUAGUACGAGAGGACCGGGUUGAACAAACCACUGGUGUAGCUGUUGUUCUGCCAAGAGCAUCGCAGCGUAGCUAAGUUUGGAAAGGAUAAACGCUGAAAGCAUCUAAGCGUGAAGCCAACUCUAAGAUGAAUCUUCUCUAAGCUCUCUAGAAGACUACUAGUUUGAUAGGCUGGGUGUGUAAUGGAUGAAAGUCCUUUAGCUGACCAGUACUAAUAGAGCGUUUGGCUUAUCUUUAAUAAAGCAU